CCCAUUUGUAAGGUAACUGGCACCUGUCCGUUCUCCUGACUCUGGGGCAAGGAAGAGGAAACAGGUUUCUCUGAAGAGCUUUGGCUUGGACCACCCUACCUUGAAGGGAGCAUGGGGAAUAGAGAAGCCACACCCAAAGAGUCAUUAUUGCUGGAGAAAGAUGCCACUGCGUUAGUUUCCUAUUGCUGCUAUAACAAAGCAUAACAAACUUAGUACCUUAAGACAGCACCAAUAUAUUACCUUACAGUUCUGGAGGUCAGAAGGUGGACAUGGGGUUUUAGGGGCUAAACUCAAGGUGUUGGCAGAGUUGUGUUCCUUCUGGAGGCUGUAGUGGAGAAUUCAUUUCCCUGCUUUUCUAGAAGCUGCCUGCAUUCUUUGGCUCGAGUCCCUUCCUCCAUCUUCAAAGUUCAUCUCUCUGAACUUAGCUUCUGUGGCCACAUCUGCCUUUCUGACUGCAACCCCUUCCCCAGUCUCAUGAUUACAUUGGGCCCACCUUGUUAAUACUGUACAGGAUGUUCUUUCCAACUUAACGUGAUCCUUCGUCACAACCGCAAAGUUCCUUUUACCAUGUACGUUAACACUUUGGCCAAUUCUGGGCCUUACUCCAUGGACAUCCUCGGAAAGUCAUCACUGAGUCUACUGUACCACCCUGUACCUAUGGCCACUAUGAAAACAUGACACCGUUUAGCUUCUGGGCUUUGGACACAGCUCACCAGAGCCGCAUCUGACCCAACCGGCAGACCGCUCUGCUGUUGUGAGCGCAGCGAGGGAGGUCCUAGUUAAAACAGAAACAGACUCUUCCCCUGGGACACUCAGAAGCAGCCAAGUGAUGGACAGAAGUGCUAAAGCCCAGAAAAACUGUAGCCCGGAAGAUAUGCAGAAAAGCUUCGGUUUGAGGGUGUGGGCAUUUUACAGCAACUCCAAGGCCAAAUAAGUAAGUACGAGAAGCAAGAGAGAGUUCUUGGAAUAUUUAGAAUUAUCCAUGGGCAUCUGGGUACAGAGCAGGCACACUUCUUCUUCUCCUUCUUCCCAGGUGGACAAAGGGCGAUUGCGGCCUCCUCGCAGAUAGAAUCCUCAGUGUGGAAACUGGAGCAGAAGAUUCUGGAAUGGAAGGAGGGAAGUCAAACCAUGCUCAAAUCACGUUUGAGAACAUAAAAAAACACUGAAUAUCUCUAGAUGUUACUAGAAGACUACAAAUUAAGUAAGUGCAUUAAACGUGAGUAUAAGCACUAUUCUAUUAAUACAUCGUGUAUAUGUUAGGUGCUAGGAAGAUAGAUAUCUAUAUCUAUCCAUCUAUACAGAUACAGAUAUCUGUCUAUAUAUAUGCCAUAAAAGAGAAUGAAAAUUAAAUAUGCAGAGAAAAAAAUCCUCAGUCCAACAAAGGUAGGAAGGGGAUGAGGAAUAGGAAAGAGUGAUAAUUGGCAAACAAAGACUAGGAUGGGAAGAUAUGAGAAACAAAGUAGACAUACAAUAAUUUCUUCCAAUUAAAAGGCAGAAGCUCUCAGAGAGGCCUGGCUGGCUCAGUGGGUAGAGCAUGUGACCCUUGACCUCAGGUUGUAAGUUUGAGCCCUACGUUGGGCAUAGAUCCUACUUUAAAAAGAAAGAAAUGGCAGAAGCUCUCAUAGUGGGGUAAAAACAAAUUCUAACUCUUCGAUAUUCAAAAAUCAUACAUUAAAAAUAAAAAGGGACCAAAAAGGGGUGCCUAGAUGGCU
ensembl:lncRNA